GACGAACGCUGGCGGCGUGCUUAACACAUGCAAGUCGAACGGAAAGGCCCUGCUUUUGUGGGGUGCUCGAGUGGCGAACGGGUGAGUAACACGUGAGUAACCUGCCCUUGACUUUGGGAUAACUUCAGGAAACUGGGGCUAAUACCGGAUAGGAGCUCCUGCUGCAUGGUGGGGGUUGGAAAGUUUCGGCGGUUGGGGAUGGACUCGCGGCUUAUCAGCUUGUUGGUGGGGUAGUGGCUUACCAAGGCUUUGACGGGUAGCCGGCCUGAGAGGGUGACUGGCGACAUUGGGCCUGAGAUACGGCCCAGACUCCUACGGGAGGCAGAAGGGGGGAAUAUUGCACAAUGGGCGGAAGCCUGAUGCAGCAACGCCGCGUGCGGGAUGACGGCCUUCGGGUUGUAAACCGCUUUCGCCUGUGACGAAGCGUGAGUGACGGUAAUGGGUAAAGAAGCACCGGCUAACUACGUG
rnacentral:rRNA from 1 species